rnacentral:rRNA from 1 species
GACGAACGCUGGCGGCGUGCUUAACACAUGCAAGUCGAACGGAAAGGCCCUGCUUUUGUGGGGUGCUCGAGUGGCGAACGGGUGAGUAACACGUGAGUAACCUGCCCUUGACUUUGGGAUAACUUCAGGAAACUGGGGCUAAUACCGGAUAGGAGCUCCUGCUGCAUGGUGGGGGUUGGAAAGUUUCGGCGGUUGGGGAUGGACUCGCGGCUUAUCAGCUUGUUGGUGGGGUAGUGGCUUACCAAGGCUUUGACGGGUAGCCGGCCUGAGAGGGUGACCGGCCACAUUGGGACUGAGAUACGGCCCAGACUCCUACGGGAGGCAGGAGUGGGGAAUAUUGCACAAUGGGCGGAAGCCUGAUGCAGCAACGCCGCGUGUGGGAUGACGGCCUUCGGGUUGUAAACCGCUUUCGCCUGUGACGAAGCGUGAGUGACGGUAAUGGGUAAAGAAGCACCGGCUAACUACGU